rnacentral:lncRNA from 1 species
GCCAUGCUGGCUGCAAGGGUGGCAGCUGCACUAGCCCCUCACCUCCCUGUUGUAAAUUUUAUUUAUUUCUUGUUUCUUAUUUUUUUUCUUUUGAACUAUGCCAUCUUGGAACUGUUUACUUUAAAUUAAUUAAUUGUUAAAAUUGUAAACUUAUGAUUUAUAUUUUAUAUUGCUUUGUUUUUACCUAUGUAAUAACUGUGUAUAUUUUAAAUUGUUUUUAUUGUAUAUGUUGUGAACCGCCCAGAGUAGACUAUGUCUAGAUGAGUAGCAUAUAAAUGCAAUGCAAUGCAAUGCAAUGCAAUGCAAUGCAAUGCAAUGCAAUAAAUAAAUAAAUAAAUAAAUAAAUAAAUAAAUAAGCAAGCUUGCUUUUCCUUUCUGAUUGGUCGUUGGGAGGCAAACAUGGUGCCCUUUGCAAAUCUGAUUUCUCAGGGCACAGGGCUUUGAAGGAACCGCCUGGCCACUGAUAAACGAGAUGCAUGGAACCCAUCAAUCAAGGUACCAUUAGGUCCAUAGGCUCAGCAUCCACUGAAGCAUACAAGAGGUGUGUGUGUGGGGAAUCUGCCACACGGAGACUCCCCCAUGAUGGGUAAGCUUUCCUUCCUUCCCUCAUCCUCCGGUUUCCAAGCGGCCCGAAGCGGAGGAUGAUUGUUUUGCAGCCACCAGAGGGCUCUGGGUAUGGCUCCAGGAGAGAAGGGAAAUCGGCCCUUUCCUCUUUCUCUCUCUCCUCGCUGUUUCCUCUGCUCGGGGCGUCGGGCUUUGAGCUUCCUGGGUGACUCGGAUACACUGACACACACAUACACACGCACACAGACAGAGAACCGGGCCAGCGUCCCGGGUGGGACGAAUGCCAGGCGUUGGGGGGGCCGCCCUCUCCCCCGCAUCCGCGAUGCCCGGCCAAGGUACUACAAAGACCUGCUCUCUGCUGCUCAGAUACGUAGUCUUGGUUGUCUGUUCAAGGAGGUACUGCCUGACAUUAAUUACUGUAGCACAACCCUCGAGACCCUGGUUCUCUCUCUGAGGUGUGUGGGAUUAUGAUUCCCAUCAGUCCCUAGUAGCAGAACCAGGCUGGUGAGCUUUAAUGGGAAUUGAAGUCUUAACUCAUUUAGAGGCGGGCGCCAAAUUACAGAAUAUUUGUAUAGCAUCUUCAGUAUACUGCCUACUCCAGAUUGCUUCAUUGAAACACAUCCCUAAAUUGGUUUAAUCGCUCUGAUUUCUUCCCACUUUCAUAUUGGUGAAACAGAGGAGUUAAUCCUCCUUCGUGAUUGUGAGUUUGAAUACAUAACCCGGUAUUUUACACUGGGUUAAUCCACCUGAAAUAAAUGUAGCCGUGUGUAUGAAAUGCCUUGAUGC